rnacentral:rRNA from 2 species
GGGUUGUGAGGUUAAGCGACUAAGCGUACACGGUGGAUGCCCUGGCAGUCAGAGGCGAUGAAGGACGUGCUAAUCUGCGAUAAGCGCCGGUAAGGUGAUAUGAACCGUUAUAACCGGCGAUUUCCGAAUGGGGAAACCCAGUGUGACUCGUCACACUAUCAUUAACUGAAUCCAUAGGUUAAUGAGGCGAACCGGGGGAACUGAAACAUCUAAGUACCCCGAGGAAAAGAAAUCAACCGAGAUUCCCCCAGUAGCGGCGAGCGAACGGGGAGGAGCCCAGAGCCUGAAUCAGCAUGUGUGUUAGUGGAAGCGUCUGGAAAGGCGCGCGAUACAGGGUGACAGCCCCGUACACAAAAGCGCAUGUGCUGUGAGCUCGAUGAGUAGGGCGGGACACGUGGUAUCCUGUCUGAAUAUGGGGGGACCAUCCUCCAAGGCUAAAUACUCCUGACUGACCGAUAGUGAACCAGUACCGUGAGGGAAAGGCGAAAAGAACCCCGGCGAGGGGAGUGAAAAAGAACCUGAAACCGUGUACGUACAAGCAGUGGGAGCCUCUUUAUGGGGUGACUGCGUACCUUUUGUAUAAUGGGUCAGCGACUUAUAUUCUGUAGCAAGGUUAACCGAAUAGGGGAGC